rnacentral:rRNA from 1 species
ACUCCUACGGGAGGCAGCAGUGAGGAAUUUUCCGCAAUGGGCGAAAGCCUGACGGAGCAAUGCCGCGUGGAGGACGAAGGCCUGUGGGUUGUAAACUCCUUUUCUCAGAGAAGAAUUUUGACGGUAUUUGAGGAAUAAGCAUCGGCUAACUCCGUGCCAGCAGCCGCGGUAAU